UACGUAGGGUGCGAGCGUUAAUCGGGAUUACUGGGCGUAAAGCGUGCGCAGGCGGUUUGUAAGCCAGGUGUGAAAUCCCCGGGCUCAACCUGGGAACUGCAUUUGUGACUGCAUCGCUGGAGUACGGCAGAGGGGGAUGGAAUUCCGCGUGUAGCAGUGAAAUGCGCAGAUAUCGGGAAGAACACCCGUGGCGAAGGCGGCUCUCUGGGACGGUACUGACGCUGAGACGCGAAAGCGUGGGGAGCGAACAGG
rnacentral:rRNA from 1 species